rnacentral:rRNA from 1 species
CCUACGGGAGGCUGCAGUGGGGAAUAUUGCACAAUGGGCGCAAGCCUGAUGCAGCCAUGCCGCGUGUGUGAAGAAGGCCUUCGGGUUGUAAAGCACUUUCAGCGGGGGGGAAGGCGGUGAGGUUAAUAACCUCAUCGAUUGACGUUACCCGCAGAAGAAGCACCGGCUAACUCCGUGCCAGCAGCCGCGGUAAUACGGAGGGUGCAAGCGUUAAUCGGAAUUACUGGGCGUAAAGCGCACGCAGGCGGUCUGUCAAGUCGGAUGUGAAAUCCCCGGGCUCAACCUGGGAACUGCAUUCGAAACUGGCAGGCUAGAGUCUUGUAGAGGGGGGUAGAAUGCCAGGUGUGGCGGGGAAAUGCGUAGAGAUCUGGAGGAAUACCGGUGGCGAAGGCGGCCCCCUGGACAAAGACUGACGCUCAGGUGCGAAAGCGUGGGGAGCAAACAGGAUUAGAUACCCCAGUAGUC